CUCUGACUUCCCAAAAUGCACUUCUGUGUGGGUGAAAUGAAGUACAGCGGGAAAUAAUAAGCCCAUGACUGCCAUCAAUAACAAUCCUGAGUUCACGAGGGCAGUUGCCUUACUGAAAACCUGGACUUUCUGCUGAUGAACAAUCCCACCACAGAAGAAGGCACAUCCAAGCACCAAGAGCAUAUUUGAUAAAAUGGAACCCAGCAAGGAUUGUUUAACAACCCUCAUCAUCCCAUUAUUCAAUGCAUAUAAUGAGAUUAUCAUUUCAGUAGCAUUGCCAAAUGUAGCAUUUAGAAGUCCCCCAACUGUAGGCCCUGUAUAGAAUGCAAGCUGCUCAGUCGCAUAACCCAAACGCUCAGCUAAGGGUGUAAUGCCCACCAAACUGAAGAAGAACACCCACUCAUGUUUUUUUGUUAGAUAGUGUAGCAGUAUCGCCAAUGGUCCAAAAGGAAGCAAAACAUUGAUCUUUGCUUUAAGUAUCACAAAGUAUACACUCCUAAAAUAGCUGAUCUGAUGCACCUUCCUCAAGACUCUCGAGGAGUAAAAACUUCUAGGCGACGCCAUAUGAGCUGACUCAAAAUGCAAACUCUCUAUCUUGUUUGUCGCAUGAGAUGAACUAAAGGAGAUCUCCUCAUCAGAUUCAAUGUCUAACUUAUCCCCUACAGAUCCCAUCUCAACACUUGAAAAAAAGAGCCAACUUUAUACAGCUCAAUGAAUCAAAUUUAAAAUGCUCAGACACAUAAGAGGGCCCCAGAGAAAACAAUCAGUGGGCGAAUCGAAUCGUGUACUGAUGUGAACAGCAAAGCUGAGUAGUUUACAUAAAUUAAGAGAAAAAUAUGUAUAGAGAUAGUGUAUAAUAGUAGAGAGAUAAAUACAGAGAAAAA
rnacentral:misc_RNA from 1 species